rnacentral:ncRNA from 1 species
UUCUGUUCCUUCCUGGCAUUUAUAGCAACGUCGCUUUUUGGUCCUUCGAUAUUGGCUCUUCCUAUUGUUGUGAAGCAGCAUUCACCAGGCGUUGGAUUUUUGUUCACCCACUGAUAGGGAACGUGAGACAGGUUUAGU